AGGUAUGACAGACCUGGGGAUUCCAUGUCUGCAAUUUCAGCUGGAUCUGCUGCCUCAGCUACUGAGGAGAGGCAACGAUGGGGAGAUUGAUUACAGGGACAUGAGCAACCAACUAACUACAGAGAGUAAUAGGCUGCUGUUCUAUUCUGUUCCCUGCUGUUCUAAUGCUGUUCCCUGCUGUUUGGAGAUCACUAGAGAGAAGCUACAGCCCAGUCCUAACUGUCAGCUGGGAUUGUGGAGCCCACCACCUCCUGAGACAAACAGGUUCAUUCUUCUGAGUAUCAGACUUAUACCAUUUGUCUACGGAGGAGCCCAUCCAGGGAGCUUUGAGGUGGUUUCUUCCCAGGAGCACCAGGGUGUCCAGCCUGUUCAGGGUGAUCGAGGAGCAGGAUGGGAUCAAGACCACCAGCCUGCAGGUGUUCAGAACCAGAGUUCCCUCCCAGGAGUCCUUCCUACCA
ensembl:lncRNA